CUUAACACAUGCAAGUCGAGGGGCAGCAUGGUCUUAGCUUGCUAAGGCCGAUGGCGACCGGCGCACGAGUGAGUAACACGUAUCCAACCUGCCGUCUACUCUUGGACAGCCUUCUGAAAGGAAGAUUAAUACAAGAUGGCAUCAUGAGUCCGCAUGUUCACAUGAUUAAAGGUAUUCCGGUAGACGAUGGGGAUGCGUUCCAUUAGAUAGUAGGCGGGGUAACGGCCCACCUAGUCUUCGAUGGAUAGGGGUUCUGAGAGGAAGGUCCCCCACAUUGGAACUGAGACACGGUCCAAACUCCUACGGGAGGCAGCAGUGAGGAAUAUUGGUCAAUGGGCGAGAGCCUGAACCAGCCAAGUAGCGUGAAGGAUGACUGCCCUAUGGGUUGUAAACUUCUUUUAUAAAGGAAUAAAGUCGGGUAUGCAUACCCGUUUGCAUGUACUUUAUGAAUAAGGAUCGGCUAACUCCGUGCCAGCAGCCGCGGUAAUACGGAGGAUCCGAGCGUUAUCCGGAUUUAUUGGGUUUAAAGGGAGCGUAGAUGGAUGUUUAAGUCAGUUGUGAAAGUUUGCGGCUCAACCGUAAAAUUGCAGUUGAUACUGGAUAUCUUGAGUGCAGUUGAGGCAGGCGGAAUUCGUGGUGUAGCGGUGAAAUGCUUAGAUAUCACGAAGAACUCCGAUUGCGAAGGCAGCCUGCUAAGCUGCAACUGACAUUGAGGCUCGAAAGUGUGGGUAUCAAACAGGAUUAGAUACCCUGGUAGUCCACACGGUAAACGAUGAAUACUCGCUGUUUGCGAUAUACAGCAAGCGGCCAAGCGAAAGCGUUAAGUAUUCCACCUGGGGAGUACGCCGGCAACGGUGAAACUCAAAGGAAUUGACGGGGGCCCGCACAAGCGGAGGAACAUGUGGUUUAAUUCGAUGAUACGCGAGGAACCUUACCCGGGCUUAAAUUGCAGAUGAAUUACGGUGAAAGCCGUAAGCCGCAAGGCAUCUGUGAAGGUGCUGCAUGGUUGUCGUCAGCUCGUGCCGUGAGGUGUCGGCUUAAGUGCCAUAACGAGCGCAACCCUUGUUGUCAGUUACUAACAGGUUCCGCUGAGGACUCUGACAAGACUGCCAUCGUAAGAUGUGAGGAAGGUGGGGAUGACGUCAAAUCAGCACGGCCCUUACGUCCGGGGCUACACACGUGUUACAAUGGGGGGUACAGAGGGCCGCUACCACGCGAGUGGAUGCCAAUCCCAAAAACCUCUCUCAGUUCGGACUGGAGUCUGCAACCCGACUCCACGAAGCUGGAUUCGCUAGUAAUCGCGCAUCAGCCACGGCGCGGUGAAUACGUUCCCGGGCCUUGUACACACCGCCCGUCAAGCCAUGGGAGCCGGGGGUACCUGAAGUGCGUAACCGCGAGGAGCGCCCUAGGGUAAAACUGGUGACUGGGGCUAAGUCG
rnacentral:rRNA from 1 species